rnacentral:tRNA from 1 species
AGAUGUAGCUCAGUGGUGGAGUACUUGCCUAGCACACAUAAGGCCAGGGUUUGAUCCCCAGUAUUGCAUCUA